rnacentral:tRNA from 1 species
GCCGGGGUGGCUCAGUCGGUUAAGCCUCUGAUUUCAGCUCAGGUCACGAUCUCACAGUUUGUGGGUUCGAGUCCCAUGUCGGGCU